rnacentral:rRNA from 1 species
CAGCCGUAAACAAUGUGCGUUAGGUGUGUCGGUAACCACGCGUUACUGAUGCGCCGAAGAGAAAUCGUGAAACGCACCACCUGGGAAGUACGGUCGCAAGGCUGAAACUUAAAGGAAUUGGCGGGGGAGCACCACAACAGGUGGAGCCUGCGGUUUAAUUGGAUUCAACGCCGGACAUCUCACCGGAUAAGACAGCUGAAUGAUUGUCAAUCUGAAGGUUUUACAUGACUAGCUGAGAGGUGGUGCAUGGCGUAGACGUCU